rnacentral:rRNA from 1 species
UAUGACGGCCAUAGCGGCGGGGAGACACCCGGUCCCAUCCCGAACCCGGAAGUAAAGUCCGCCUGCGUCUCUGCCUGUACUGUACUGCGCAAGCGUACGGGAACGCAGAAACGCUGUCAACC